AGAUGGAUGUUUAAGUCAGUUGUGAAAGUUUGCGGCUCAACCGUAAAAUUGCAGUUGAUACUGGAUAUCUUGAGUGCAGUUGAGGCAGGCGAAAUUCGUGGUGUAGCGGUGAAAUGCUUAGAUAUCACGAAGAACUCCGAUUGCGAAGGCAGCCUGCUAAGCUGCAACUGACAUUGAGGCUCGAAAGUGUGGGUAUCAAACAGGAUUAGAUACCCUGGUAGUCCACACGGUAAACGAUGAAUACUCGCUGUUUGCGAUAUACUGCAAGCGGCCAAGCGAAAGCGUUAAGUAUUCCACCUGGGGAGUACGCCGGCAACGGUGAAACUCAAAGGAAUUGACGGGGGCCCGCACAAGCGGAGGAACAUGUGGUUUAAUUCGAUGAUACGCGAGGAACCUUACCCGGGCUUAAAUUGCAGAUGAAUUACGGUGAAAGCCGUAAGCCGCAAGGCAUCUGUGAAGGUGCUGCAUGGUUGUCGUCAGCUCGUGCCGUGAGGUGUCGGCUUAAGUGCCAUAACGAGCGCAACCCUUGUUGUCAGUUACUAACAGGUUUUGCUGAGGACUCUGACAAGACUGCCAUCGUAAGAUGUGAGGAAGGUGGGGAUGACGUCAAAUCAGCACGGCCCUUACGUCCGGGGCUACACACGUGUUACAAUGGGGGGGUACAGAGGGCCGCUACCACGCGAGUGGAUGCCAAUCCCCAAAACCUCUCUCAGUUCGGACUGGAGUCUGCAACCCGACUCCACGAAGCUGGAUUCGCUAGUAAUCGCGCAUCAGCCACGGCGCGGUGAAUACGUUCCCGGGCCUUGUACACACCGCCCGUCAAGCCAUGGGAGCCGGGGGUACCUGAAGUGCGUAACCGCGAGGAGCGCCCUAGGGUA
rnacentral:rRNA from 1 species